AACGAACGCUGGCGGCAUGCCUAACACAUGCAAGUCGAACGAGAGAUGCGGGCUUAGUGGCGGACGGGUGCGUAAAGCGUGGGAAAAUGCCCUUAGGUUCGGAAUAAAGUCCCGAAAGGGGUGCUAAUACCGGAGAAAGUAUUCGGAACGAAGAUAGAUCGACAUUGGAUGGGCUCGCGUUGGAUUACCUAGUGGGGAGGGUAAAUGGCUACCACGGCGACGAUCCAUAGCUGGCUUGAGAGGAUGAGCAGCCACACUGGGACUGAGACACGGCCAAGACUCCUGCGGGAGGCAGCAAUGGGGAAUAUUGGACAGUGGGCGAAAGCCUGAUCCAGCAAUGCCGCGUGAGUGAUGAAGGCCUUAGGGUUGUAAAGCUCUUUUACCCGGGAUGAUAAUGACAUUACCGAGAGAAUAAGCUCCGGCUAACUCCGUG
rnacentral:rRNA from 1 species